rnacentral:rRNA from 1 species
UAAUACGGAGGGUGCGAGCGUUGUCCGGAAUCACUGGGCGUAAAGGGCGCGUAGGCGGCCUGAUAAGUAGGGGGUGAAAUCCUGCGGCUUAACCGCAGGGCUGCCUUCUAAACUGUCAGGCUCGAGCACAGUAGAGGCAGGUGGAAUUCCCGGUGUAGCGGUGGAAUGCGUAGAGAUCGGGAAGAACAUCAGUGG